GACGAACGCUGGCGGCGUGCUUAACACAUGCAAGUCGAACGAGUGGCGAACGGGUGAGUAAUACGUGAGUAACCUGCCCUCUUUUUGGGAUAAGCCUUGGAAACGGGGUCUAAUACCGGAUAAAGGGGGAUGGGCUCGCGGCCUAUCAGCUGGUGGGUGGGGUUAUGGCAUACCAAGGCGGUGACGGGUUGCCGGCCUGAGAGGGUGACCGGCCACGUUGGGACGGAGCUACGGCCCAGACGCCUAAGGGGGGGGGCAGUGGGUGAUAUUGCCCAAUGGGCGAGAGCCUGAUGCAGCGUCUCUGCGUAGGGGAUGAAGGCUGUCGGGUUGUAAAAGUCUUUCGGUAUCGAACGGGUAGGUGGAGAAGAAGCGCCGGCUAACUACGUGCCAGCAGCCGCGGUAAUUC
rnacentral:rRNA from 1 species